rnacentral:rRNA from 1 species
UGCAAAGUUGGAGGCGGAUUUUCCUUUGGGGAACAUUAAGGGGCGGAACGGGUGAGUAAACAAGGUGGGCAAAUUGCCCUGUUAGACGGGGAAUUAACGCCUUGGAACCGGGUGUUAAUGCCAGAUAGACCACUUUGAGGCAUCUCCGAGUUUUGAAAGGUGCUAUGGCACUAAUAACAGAGGAGCCCGGGGCGCAUUAGCUAGUGGGCGGGGUAACGGCCCACCAAGGCGAAGAUCGGUAUCCGGCCUGAGAGGGCGCACGGACACACUGGAACUGAAACACGGUCCAGACUUCUACGGGAGGCAGCAGUGGGGAAUUUUGCGCAAUGGGGGAAACCCUGACGCAGCAACGCCGCGUGGAGGAUGAAGCCCUUUGGGGCGUAAACUCCUUUCGACCAAGACGAUAAUGACGGUACUGGUGGAAGAAACAUCGCCUAACUCUGUGCCAGC